rnacentral:rRNA from 1 species
UCCUGCCAGCGAUCGUUCUUUUGCAUCAAAGAUUAACACAUGCAUGUGUCAGAUUAAAAGACUUAAUCUUGAAUCUGCGAAUGGCUCAUUAUAUCAGUCAUAGUUUACACGGUAAUGAAAAGCUACACGGAUAACUGUGGCAAUUCUAGAGCUAAUACGUGCGUCGAGGCGUCUUUCCUCUCGGGGGAGGGCGUCGUAUUUAUUAGCCUCAAAACCGACUCCGCUCGCAAGGGCGGGUUUUUGGUGAAUCAUGAUAACUGAAGCGAACCGGUGCGCCUUUACGGCGGCGGUGAACCGUUCAAGUUUCUGCCCUAUCAGCUUUCGAUGGUCGGGUAUUGGCCUACCAUGGCGUUGACGGGUGACGGAGAAUUAGGGUUCGAUUCCGGAGAGGGAGCCUUAGAGACGGCUCCUACAUCCAAGGAAGGCAGCAGUGGCGAAACGUACCCAAUCCCAAUUCGGGGAGGUCGUGACGAUGUAUAGUAAUGCGGUGCGUUUUCACGUACUGCAAUUGCAAUGAGUACAACUCAAACCCUUUAACCAGGAUCAAUUGGAGGGCAAGUCUGGUGCCAGCAGCCGCGGUAAUUCCAGCUCCGAUAAAGAACAUUGAAGUUGUUGCAGUUAAAAAGCUCGUAGUUGGAUUUCUGGGCGUUUCAAAUCCACCCCCUCGCGGGGAAACUCGCGAGGCGGCCGUGGAUGGCGCCCAUCCCUUCGGCGGAACUUUUCCUCCUCGCAAGGGGGGGGGAAGGAAAACCGAUCCUUCACUGUGAACAAAUUGGAGUGUUCAAAGCAGGCUUUACGCUGUGAACAUUUAAGCAUGGAAUGAUAAAUCAGGACUCUCGUCUCAUUUGUCGGUUUUUUGACAAGAGUAAUGUUUAAAAGAAACAGGGGGGGGUAUCCGGAUUUGGCAGUCAGAGGUGAAAUUCUUGGAUUUGCUAAGGACGAACAACUGCGAAAGCAUCUACCAACGAUGUUUUCAUUAAUCAAGAACGAAAGUUUGGGGAUCGAAGAUGAUUAGAUACCAUCGUAGUCCAAACUAUAAACGAUUCCGACUCGGGAUGAGCGGAAGUCUUUUUUCAUCGACUCCGCUCGCACCGUAUGAGAAAUCAAAGUCUUUGGGUUCCGGGGGGAGUAUGGUCGCAAGGCUGAAACUUAAAGGAAUUGACGGAAGGGCACACAAGGAGUGGAGCCUGCGGCU